rnacentral:rRNA from 1 species
UCGUCAGCUCGUGUCGUGAGAUGUUGGGUUAAGUCCCGCAACGAGCGCAACCCUUGUCCCUAGUUGCUACGCAAGAGCACUCUAGGGAGACUGCCGGUGACAAACCGGAGGAAGGUGGGGAUGACGUCAAGUCCUCAUGGCCCUUAUGGGUAGGGCUUCACACGUCAUACAAUGGUCGGAACAGAGGGUCGCCAACCCGCGAGGGGGAGCCAAUCCCAGAAAACCGAUCGUAGUCCGGAUCGCACUCUGCAACUCGAGUGCGUGAAGCUGGAAUCGCUAGUAAUCGCGGAUCAGCAUGCCGCGGUGAAUACGUUCCCGGGUCUUGUACACACCGCCCGUCACACCAUGGGAGUGGGUUUUACCAGAAGUGGCUAGUCUAACCGCAAGGAGGACGGUCACCACGGUAGGAUUCAUGACUGGGGUGAAGUCGUAACAAGGUAACCGUA